AACGAACGCUGGCGGCGUGGAUUAGGCAUGCAAGUCGAACGCGAAAGAGGGAGCAAUCCCUCAAGUAGAGUGGCGAACGGGUGAGUAACGCGUGAAGAACCUGCCUUCAACAGGGGGAUAACACUCCCAACGGGGUGCUAAUACCGCAUGAGACCACGGGUUCGCAUGGACCUGAGGUCAAAGGUGGCCUCUGCUUGCAAGCUACCGGUUGAAGAUGGCUUCGCGUCCCAUAGCUAGUUGGCGGUGUAAAAGACCACCAAGGCGACGAUGGGUAGCUGGUCUGAGAGGAUGGUCAGCCACACUGGGACUGAGAUACGGCCCAGACUCCUACGGGAGGCAGCAGUCGAGAGGCUUUGGCAAUGGGGAAACCCUGACCAAGCGACGCCGCGUGGAGGAUGAAGGCCCUUGGGUUGUAAACUUCCUUUUGUCGGGGAAGAAAUGCGAUCAGGUAAACAAUCUGGUCGUUUGG
rnacentral:rRNA from 1 species